rnacentral:rRNA from 1 species
CACGCCGUAAACGAUGAGUGCUAGUUGUCGGCAUGCAUGCAUGUCGGUGACGCAGCUAACGCAUUAAGCACUCCGCCUGGGGAGUACGGUCGCAAGAUUAAAACUCAAAGGAAUUGACGGGGGCCCGCACAAGCGGUGGAGCAUGUGGUUUAAUUCGAAGCGACGCGCAGAACCUUACCACCUUUUGACAUGCCUGGACCACUCCAGAGAUGGAGCUUUCCCUUCGGGGACUGGGACACAGGUGC